UUCCAAUCUAGCCAGAUUGAUGAAUGGCUGGACUAUUCUUCUAUCCUUUCAUCUGGGUCUGAAUUCGAGAAUGCAUGUACUUACAUUGAUAGUUAUUUGGAGAAGCGUACUUUUCUGGUUGGAUAUUNGUUUAUCAAUUGCAGACAUUGCGAUUUGGUCAGGUCUAGCAGGUAUUUGCUUCAGCUAUCACCUGAAAUUUAUUUUACUGUGUCAUUCAUUGCUGAACAUC
rnacentral:misc_RNA from 1 species